rnacentral:lncRNA from 1 species
GAUAUAUCUUUAAUGAUACUUUUCAAACUUUUCUUUCAUUGCUAGAGAAAGCCUGCCUGAAGCCUUUCUGACUGGACAGAAAAUACCAGAGAUUUGGAAACCUUGAGCCAAAGUUGAUUAUGAAGAUGUAACAUGCUUCCAUCGAAAUUCAGGAUCAUAUUUCAUUGGGGUCAAGUUUAAGUUUUAGAAUUAGACAGAAAAUAGAAGAGGUGUUUCAAAAACAUUCAUUAUAAAAGCACAUAUUACCAUGG